GCUCAGGAUGAACGCUGGCGGCGUGCUUAACACAUGCAAGUCGAACGGAGUUUAAGGAGGAAGCUUGCUUUCAUUUUAAACUUAGUGGCGGACGGGUGAGUAACGCGUGAGGAACCUGCCCUUCAGUGGGUUUCAACAACUAGAAAUGGUUGCUAAUACCGCAUAAUGUCGGAGUACCGCAUGAUACACCGACCAUAAGGAUUUUAUUCGCUUUAAGGAUGGCCUCGCGUCCGAUUUUUAUAGUUGGUGAGGUAACGGCCCACCAAGUCUACGAUCGGUAGCCGAACUGAGAGGUUGAUCGGCCACAUUGGGACUGAGACACGGCCCAGACUCCUACGGGAGGCAGCAGUGGGGAAUAUUGGGCAAUGGAAGCAAUUCUGACCCAGCCAUGCCGCGUGCAGGAAGACGGCCCUAUGGGUUGUAAACUGCUUUUUCCGCGGAGUAACCGCCGGGACGUGUCCCGGCCUGAGAGUACGCGGGGAAUAAGUAUCGGCUAACUCCGUGCCAGCAGCCGCGGUAAUACGGAGGAUACGAGCGUUAUCCGGAUUCAUUGGGUUUAAAGGGUGCGCAGCGACGGUAGUCAGGGUGAAAUACUGCAGCUCACUGCAGCGUGCUUUUGAUUACUUGCCUGGACACUGGGAGUUCCACAGGGGG
rnacentral:rRNA from 1 species